AGAGUUUGAUCAUGGCUCAGGAUGAACGCUAGCGGCAGGCCUAAUACAUGCAAGUCGAACGCUCAGUAGCAAUACUGGGAGUGGCGCACGGGUGCGUAACGCGUACACAAUCUACCUCUAAGCGGGGGACACCUCCUGGAAACGGGGAUUAAUACCGCAUAAUAUGCCGAAGUCGCAUGACUUUGGUAUUAAAGCAGCAAUGCACUUAGAGAUGAGUGUGCGUCCCAUUAGGUAGUUGGUGAGGUAACGGCUCACCAAGCCUAUGAUGGGUAGCCGGUCUGAGAGGAUGGUCGGCCACACGGGCACUGAGACACGGGCCCGACUCCUACGGGAGGCAGCAGUAAGGAAUAUUGGUCAAUGGUGGAACACUGAACCAGCCAUGCCGCGUGGAGGAAUAAGGUCCUACGGAUUGUAAACUCCUUUUGACGAGGAAGAAGAUGUUAGAUUUAUCUAAUUUUGACGGUACUCGUAGAAUAAGCACCGGCUAACUCCGUG
rnacentral:rRNA from 1 species